rnacentral:rRNA from 1 species
AUUGAACGCUGGCGGCAUGCUUUACACAUGCAAGUCGAACGGUAACAGGUUAAGCUGACGAGUGGCGAACCGGUGAGUAAUGCAUCGGAACGUGCCCGAUCGUGGGGGAUAACGCAGCGAAAGCUGCGCUAAUACCGCAUACGAUCUGAGGAUGAAAGCGGGGGACCGUAAGGCCUCGCGCGAUCGGAGCGGCCGAUGUCAGAUUAGGUAGUUGGGGGGGUAAAGGCUCACCAAGCCGACGAUCUGUAGCUGGUCUGAGAGGACGACCAGCCACACUGGGACUGAGACACGGCCCAGACUCCUACGGGAGGCAGCAGUGGGGAAUUUUGGACAAUGGGCGAAAGCCUGAUCCAGCAAUGCCGCGUGCAGGAAGAAGGCCUUCGGGUUGUAAACUGCUUUUGUACGGAGCGAGAAGGCUCUCUCUAAUACAGGGGGCUCAUGACGGUACCGUAAGAAUAAGCACCGGCUAACUACGUGCCAGCCGCCGCGGUAAUAC